rnacentral:rRNA from 1 species
UUCCGGUUGAUCAGGCCAGACCCGACUGCUAUCAGAGUGGGACUAAGCCAUGCGAGUUAACGUAGCAAUACGUGGCAUACGGCUCAGUAACACGUAGUCAACAUGCCCAGGGGACGUGGAUAACCUCGGGAAACUGAGGAUAAACCGCGAUAGGUCAUGAUUUCUGGAAUGAUUCAUGGCCGAAAUCUACAUGGCCCCUGGAUUGGACUGCGGCCGAUCAGGCUGUUGGUGAGGUAAUGGCCCACCAAACCUGUUACCGGUACGGGCUCUGAGAGGAGGAGCCCGGAGAUGGGCACUGAGACAAGGGCCCAGGCCCUAUGGG